GAUGAACGCUGGCGGCGUGCCUAAUACAUGCAAGUCGAGCGAAUGGAUUAAGAGCUUGCUCUUAUGAAGUUAGCGGCGGACGGGUGAGUAACACGUGGGUAACCUGCCCAUAAGACUGGGAUAACUCCGGGAAACCGGGGCCAAUACCGGAUAACAUUUUGAACCGCAUGGUUCGAAAUUGAAAGGCGGCUGCGGCUGUCACUUAUGGAUGGACCCGCUUCGCAUUAGCUAGUUGGUGAGGUAACGGCUCACCAAGGCAACGAUGCGUAGCCGACCUGAGAGGGUGAUCGGCCACACUGGGACUGAGACACGGCCCAGACUCCUACGGGAGGCAGCAGUAGGGAAUCUUCCGCAAUGGACGAAAGUCUGACGGAGCAACGCCGCGUGAGUGAUGAAGGCUUUCGGGUCGUAAAACUCUGUUGUUAGGGAAGAACAAGUGCUAGUUGAAUAAGCUGGCACCUUGACGGUACCUAACCAGAAAGCCACGGCUAACUACGUGCCAGCCGCCGUAAUAC
rnacentral:rRNA from 1 species